UAUUUUCGGACUUACACGUACACCGUGAGCGAGUUUAAAACCCUUUGGAUAUUUUAAAAGGACUCCAAGGAACUCAGGCUUUGCUUUGGCUUCAAGCUUGUGCCACAGAUGAUAGAAAACUCCUAAGAAGUCACUAUUUAGAUGAAGGUAUUAGCACCUAAUCUUGUCCAGGACCUAUUCUCAACCACAUGGAAAUAAUGUCGAAUAUUUAGUAAACAAUAAAGAACAAGCAGAAAGUGACACAUCAAGUCGAAGAAACAACGUAGCCAAAAAAAGGAUCUACAAGCACUACAAAUAUGGAUAACAAAUUCCAACACUGUAAUUUGCCCGUCGAAAACAUGCUGCCUUGUUGUGGUUUGGAAUGCCGUUCCCAUUUCCGCCAAGAACAGCAUGGCUGCCUCACAAUAACUAGGCAAGAACAUAUUUUAUAUUUUUCCAGAUGCUAGCUUUCUGGCAGUAUUGGGCGCCAAGUUAAAUCGACUAAGCAGGAAAAAAAUAUGACAUAACUGGUACAUUACUGGUACAUUUUCUCAAAACCAAUUCUUUGUGCUAUUAUAAUUUGCUCUAGUUUUUCUAAAACAGCAAGCUUAUCAGGGAUCUCAUGAAACCCAGUUUCAGCAAGUAAUUAUUGAGUACCAAUUUUUUUUAAAAAAAAAACAAGAUUGAAAUUAUGGCAUAUUCAACGCUAAUGAAAAUAGUUAACAAUUAGUGCACUAGGUAACCACAUAUCCAUAUAACCAUAUAAGUUAUUAGAAUAUAUCGCUUCGAAAGCCACCUUAUGUGCCAACAAAAUGUCAACCAAACUAACGCUGGUACAAACAUAACUGCUAGUCUAAGUCUAAGCAUGUUUUUACCUGUAAAUUUCUUGAUUCUUCAGAUAUUCCUGAUACAAGACAACAGCGUGACCCAGGACACUUUAGACUUCAA